rnacentral:rRNA from 1 species
GAAGGAGAGAGUGCUAAUGAGAAUGUUAACUGUGUGCGGUGGAUCACUCGGCUCGUGUGUCGAUGAAGAGUGCAGCCAACUGUGUGAAUUAAUGUGAAUCGCAGAC